GGUAUUAAGAAANAGNGAAGGUAGCAUANUCAAUAGUCUCUUAAUUGGAGGCUGGAAUGAACGGUUGGACGGGAANAAAGCUGUCUUGUUUANUUAGAANUGAAUUUGACUUUUGUGUGAAAAGGCAUAAAUGCUUUGGGGGGACGAUAAGACCCUAUAAAACUUAAUAAUUUGAUUGGGUCUUUGAAUUCGGUUUAAUAGGGGCUUGAGUAAGAUUAUUAUGCUGGGGAGGCAGGGAUAAAAAUUUAUUAACUGUUAUGAAAUGAAAAUAAAGAUAAUUAGUUGGUGACCCUUAAUUUAGGUUUAAGAGUUAAAGUUACUUUAGGGAUAACAGCGUAAUUUCUCUUGAGAGUUCAUAUCGACAGAGAUAGUUGCGACCUCGAUGUUGAAUNAAAACUUCCUGUACGAAUAUAAGUUUAUGGGGCAGGUCUGUUCGACNU
rnacentral:rRNA from 1 species